UGUCAAAGCUGUUUUUGAUACUGCAAUUAAGGUGGUUCUGCAACCUCCUUGAAGGAAGGAGAUCGCCAAGAAGAAUCCACUGAGCGUAAUCAGUACUUUAAUGAUCUACAUGUUUUUGAUCUUGAUCAAUUUAAGUGGCAAGAAAUAAAACCCCGACCUGGAGCCAUGUGGCCAAGCCCAAGGAGUGGUUUUUCA